GGCUCUGUGGCUUAGUUGGUUAAAGUCCCUGUCUAGUAAACAGGAUGAUACUGGGUUCAAAUCCCAGCAUGGGCC
rnacentral:tRNA from 1 species